GAUGAACGCUGGCGGCGUGCCUAAUACAUGCAAGUCGAGCGAACAGACGAGGAUCUUGCUUCUCUUACGUUAGCGGCGGACGGGUGAGUAACACGUGGAUAACCUACCUAUAAGACUGGGAUAACUUCGGGAAACCGGAUCUAAUACCGGAUAAUAUAUUGAACCGCAUGGUUCAUUAGUGAAAGACGGUUUUGCUGACACUUAUAGAUGGUUCCGCGCCGCAUUAGCUAGUUGGUAAGGUAACGGCUUACCAAGGCGACGAUGCGUAGCCGACCUGAGAGGAUGAUCAGCCACACUGGAACUGAGACACGGUCCAGACUCCUACGGGAGGCAGCAGUAGGGAAUCUUCCGCAAUGGGCGAAAGCCUGACGGAGCAACGCCGCGUGAGUGAUGAAGGUCUUCGGAUCGUAAAACUCUGUUAUUAGGGAAGAACAAAUGUGUAUGUAACUAUGCACGUCUUGACGGUACCUAAUCAGAAAGCCACGGCUAACUACGUG
rnacentral:rRNA from 1 species